UGAAUACGAGACGCUAAGGCGUCGAAGUAGUGUAUGUCAUACUUCCAAGAAAAGCUUGCACUGUCAUAGAUAAAAAACGCCUGUACCAUAACCGACACAGGUGGGUAGGUAGAGUAUACUAAGGGGCGCGAGAUAACUCUCUCUAAGGAACUCGGCAAAAUAACUCCGUAACUUCGGGAGAAGGAGUGCCUUAUUCGUAAGGUUGCAAUAACAAGAUCCAAGCAACUGUUUAUCAAAAACACAGGUCUCCGCUAAGUCGUAAGACGAUGUAUGGGGGCUGACGCCUGCCCAGUGCCAGAAGGUUAAAGAAGUUGGUUAGCAAUUGCGAAGCUGAUAACUGAAGCCCUGGUGAACGGCGGCCGUAACUAUAACGGUCCUAAGGUAGCGAAAUUCCUUGUCGGGUAAGUUCCGACCCGCACGAAAGGCGUAAUGAUUUGGAUACUGUCUCGGAGAGGGGCUCGGUGAAAUAGACUUGUCUGUGAAGAUGCGGACUACCUGCACCAGGACAGAAAGACCCUAUGAAGCUUUACUGUAACUUGAAAUUGAAAUUGGACUUUAUUCGCGCAGUAUAGGUGGGAGGCGUUGAUUAUAAUCUUGUGGGAUUAUUGGAGCCAUCAGUGAGAUACCACUCUUGUAAUGUUAGAUUUCUAACUUUGAAUCAUUAUCUGGUCAAAGAACAGUUUCAGGCGGGCAGUUUGACUGGGGCGGUCGCCUCCUAAACGGUAACGGAGGCGUACAAAGGUUUCCUCUGAACGGUUAGAAAUCGUAUCUAGAGUGUAAAGGCAUAAGGAAGCUUGACUGUGAGACCUACAAGUCGAGCAGGGACGAAAGUCGGUCUUAGUGAUCUGACGGUACUGAGUGGAAAGGCCGUCACUCAACGGAUAAAAGUUACUCUAGGAUAACAGGCUGAUCUCCCCCAAGAGUUCACAUCGACGGGGAGGUUUGGCACCUCGAUGUCGGCUCAUCGCAUCCUGGGGCGGUAGUACGUCCCAAGGGUUGGGCUGUUAGCCCAUGAAAGCGGUACGCGAGCUGGGUUCAGAACGUCGUGAGACAGUUCGGUCCAUAUCCGGUGUAGGCGUUAGAAUAUUGAGAGGAGCCUUCUUUAGUACGAGAGGACCGAGAAGGACAUACCUCUGGUGUACCAGUUAUCGUGCCAACGGUAAACGCUGGGUAGCUAUGUAUGGAGUGGAUAACCGCUGAAAGCAUCUAAGUGGGAAGCCCACCUCAAGAUAAGUAUUCUCA
rnacentral:rRNA from 1 species